rnacentral:rRNA from 1 species
AAUGAACGCUGGCGGCAGGCCUAACACAUGCAAGUCGAACGGAUCCUUCGGGAUUAGUGGCGGACGGGUGAGUAACGCGUGGGAACAUACCCAAAGGUACGGAAUAGCCUCGGGAAACUGGGAGUAAUACCGUAUGUGCUCGAAAGAGGAAAGAUUUAUCGCCUUUGGAUUGGCCCGCGUUGGAUUAGGUAGUUGGUGGGGUAAUGGCCUACCAAGCCGACGAUCCAUAGCUGGUUUGAGAGGAUGAUCAGCCACACUGGGACUGAGUCACGGCCCAGACUCCUACGGGAGGCAGCAGUGGGUAAUCUUAGACAAUGGGGGAAACCCUGAUCUAGCCAUGCCGCGUGAUCGAUGAAGGCCUUAGGGUUGUAAAGAUCUUUCAGGUGGGAAGAUAAUGACUGUACCACCAGAAGAAGCCCCGGCUAACUCCGUGCCAGCCGCCGCAGUAA